rnacentral:rRNA from 1 species
CGAUAUCGACGAGUUUGAUCUGGCUCAGAACGAACGCUGGCGGCAUGCCUAACACAUGCAAGUCGAACGAAGGCUUCGGCCUUAGUGGCGCACGGGUGCGUAACGCGUGGGAACCUGCCCCUCGGUUCGGAAUAACAGUUAGAAAUGACUGCUAAUACCGGAUGAUGACUUCGGUCCAAAGAUUUAUCGCCGAGGGAUGGGCCCGCGUAGGAUUAGCUAGUUGGUGGGGUAAAGGCCUACCAAGGCGACGAUCCUUAGCUGGUCUGAGAGGAUGAUCAGCCACACUGGGACUGAGACACGGCCCAGACUCCUACGGGAGGCAGCAGUGGGGAAUAUUGGACAAUGGGCGAAAGCCUGAUCCAGCAAUGCCGCGUGAGUGAUGAAGGCCUUAGGGUUGUAAAGCUCUUUUACCAGGGAUGAUAAUGACAGUACCUGGAGAAUAAGCUCCGGCUAACUCCGUG